rnacentral:rRNA from 1 species
CAGCAGCCGCGGUAAUACGAAGGGUGCAAGCGUUAAUCGGAAUUACUGGGCGUAAAGCGUGCGUAGGCGGUGAGUUAAGUCUGCUGUGAAAUCCCCGGGCUCAACCUGGGAAUGGCAGUGGAUACUGGCUCGCUAGAGUGUGUCAGAGGAUGGUGGAAUUCCCGGUGUAGCGGUGAAAUGCGUAGAGAUCUGGAGGAACAUCAGUGGCGAAGGCGGCCAUCUGGGACAACACUGACGCUGAGGCACGAAAGCGUGGGGAGCAAACAGGAUUAGUUACCCCCGUAGUCCCUGUCUCUUAUAA